GAUGAACGCUGGCGGCGUGCCUAAUACAUGCAAGUCGAGCGAACAGACGAGGAGCUUGCUCCUCUGACGUUAGCGGCGGACGGGUGAGUAACACGUGGAUAACCUACCUAUAAGACUGGGAUAACUUCGGGAAACCGGAGCUAAUACCGGAUAAUAUAUUGAACCGCAUGGCUCAAUAGUGAAAGACGGUUUUGCUGUCACUUAUAGAUGGAUCCGCGCCGCAUUAGCUAGUUGGUAAGGUAACGGCUUACCAAGGCAGCGAUGCGUAGCCGACCUGAGAGGGUGAUCGGCCACACUGGAACUGAGACACGGUCCAGACUCCUACGGGAGGCAGCAGUAGGGAAUCUUCCGCAAUGGGCGAAGGCCUGACGGAGCAACGCCGCGUGAGUGAUGAAGGUCUUCGGAUCGUAAAACUCUGUUAUUAGGGAAGAACAAAUGUGUAAGUAACUAUGCACGUCUUGACGGUACCUAAUCAGAAAGCCACGGCUAACUACGUG
rnacentral:rRNA from 1 species